rfam:Dictyostelium discoideum AX4 chromosome 1, whole genome shotgun sequence.
GGGAAAGUAGUGUAGUGGUUAUCACGAGCCCUUCACACGGGUUAGGUCGUGGGUUCGAUCCCCAUCUAUCUCA